AAUACUAUAGCUGUUGUGGAAAAUGGGAUAGAAGCUCCUCAGGAAAUAGAAUGAACGUAAGACCUGUCAGUCAGCUCCUGGGGACUAUUCCUGUGGGAUAGGAAGCCAGCAUGCUAAAGAAUGCCCCAUGAUUGCUCCUGUGUGCAUUGUGGCACUGUCCACAGGAGCCAAGAUACGGAGCCAACCUACGCGUCUAUUCAUAGAGUACGCGUAGAAGCCAGCAACAACUGUGUGGAAGCUGAAUCACCUCGCAACUCAGCCUUUCAGGCUACCUGGCCUCACUCCCACCAAUUCUAAUGCAUCUCCAGGCAGAGAUGGAGGAAGCUACCUGUUCAGGGCUGUGCUCAGGAAGGAAGGAAGAGGAGAUGAGAACUCGUGGGAACGAUCCUUUUAAACUCUUCAGGGAGCAGUGUGUGUGAAUUAAUGGGCUACUUUGCAGCAGAUUUAUUUAUUUAUUAUGUAUACAACGUUAUGCCUGCAUGUACACCUGAAUGCCAGGAAGAGGGCACCAGAUUUCAUUACAGAUGGUUGGGAGCCACCAUGUGGUUGCUGGGAAUUGAACUUGUGACUUCUGGAAGAGCAAGCAGUACUCUUAACUUCUGAGCCAUCUCUCCAGCCCCGAGGUGGUGACCAUAAAGCAGAGUCCCACUGAGAAUGGCUCAAGCUCUGCAAUGGGAUGAGAGUGGACCUGGCGGAGGGACAGCGAGGGCAAAGGUUCUGUGGUUAAAAUCAAUAUGGCUGUUGGAAGGACACAGAAGAGGCUUGCCAAGGGUGGUCAUGUAUUCCGAGGAUGUCUGAAGCUGCUCCAGUGGUGCCUUCUGUCCCGCAUCUCCAUCCAUCGGCCAAAGCCUGAGGCAUAGCUCCUGGACCAAGAAAGGAGAUGGGAGGCUAGGCGAGGAGAGGCUGGCAUCCCCUCCCCCACCUCGCCCAGCUGGUCUGCUACUGUGACAGUGAGGAGCUCAGCUUUGGGCCUGGGACGGUCACUCCCUCAGUAAGGGGCACCUGCAGUGCUGAGUCCCCACACCCCGCAUGAAAGCCAGGUAGGUGUGGCAGACGCCUGGACUGUUCACACCCAGGAGGUGGCAGAGAGGAGCCCCUGGGGCAAGCUGGCCCGCCGCCAGGCUACACAGAACCAGUGAGCUCUGAGUUAAGUGAAAGGCCUCUUCUCUGCGUAGAGAGGAAUCACCCUCUGGCCUCCAAAGGCGCAUGUGCUCCCCACUCCACAGAUCCACACACAUGUGAACACACAUUCACUCAAGAAACUCGUCAGGUAGUGACCCACUACAAGGUCUCUGGUCUCCCAGCUGCUAUCACUGGAGAUUUGGGGGGAUGUCCCCUUUUGCCUGUUCACUGCUCUCUGUCGGAUAACUGAGUCAUCACACACACACACACGAACCAUCUCCACAAGCAUGAGAGCCCCUGGAGUUGCCCAGUGCCAACCCGUGCCUCCGCUUUAGGCAGAACUGACCCCAGACCUGUGGCUGACAGGCGCAAUGCAGAGUUCCGCUUUUGCACCGACUGUGCGUCAUCACCGAGCUGGGAUGGCCUUUGUGGUGGCGCGGCUGCUUUGGGUCAUCCCUGCUUCAUGUGCGUAACUCCUCAGCCAAACUCCUGUUAGUCACACAAUGACUUGUUACUUUGGUCUGUCGUGGGCCCCCUUUCCAGAGUGAGGUGUGUGUGUGUGUGUGUGUGUGUGUGUGUUUUGUGUCUCCACAGGGGAAGUCUCUCACACGACAAGUCCAAUGAGAAAGGGUUACUUUUUGAGCUCACGGAAAUGCUCUCAUGGCCAAGAAAUGACCCAGCGUGUGACUGAUGCUCAUCAAGAACCAGAAAAACUGAAAACAAAAAGGAAAGAGAAUGAAAGAAGAGGAAGAGGAGGCACUCUCUGGGGGCGACUCUGCCGGCGCCAGCAUUCCAGAACUUCCUGCUACAGAACAGAGAGGAGUGCUCCUUGUUAAUGAGCCUCCUAGGUUUAUGGCAGCUUUUUUGGUUUACUGUGCUGCCAUCCACAGGCUCAGGCAUGCCAGGCAGGCCCUGCUCUGCUCAGCAACAUCCCGGUCCCUCACUAGAGAUUCUGGGCAGCUGGCUGCUGCUGAGCCCGCCUUCUGGUGACAGUGAGCACAGUAAGGUGGUGGCGAUGUCACACUUACCUGGUGGUGUCUUUGCCCCUGCCACUGGCCUUGAUAAGAAGUGUGAGAAAGGGCCGGAGAGAUGGCUCGAGAGGAUAAGAGCGCUGGCUGUUCUUCCAAAGGUCCCGAGUUCAAUUCCCAGCAACCACAUGGUGGCUCACAACUAUCUAUAAUGAGAUCUGGUGCCCUCUUCUGACCUCCUGACUCACAUGCAGACAGAACACUGUAUAAUAAAUAAAUAAAUCUUAAAAAAAAAAAAAAAGA